GACGAACGCUGGCGGCGCGCCUAACACAUGCAAGUCGAACGGAGUUUGAGAGAGCUUGCUUUUUCAAACUUAGUGGCGAACGGGUGAGUAACGCGUGAGUAACCUGCCCUGGAGUGGGGGACAACAGUUGGAAACGACUGCUAAUACCGCAUAAGCCCACGACCCGGCAUCGGGUUGAGGGAAAAGGAGUGAUCCGCUUUGAGAUGGCCUCGCGUCCGAUUAGCUAGUUGGUGAGGUAACGGCCCACCAAGCCUUCGAUGGAUAGGGGUUCUGAGAGGAAGGUCCCCCACAUUGGAACUGAGACACGGUCCAA
rnacentral:rRNA from 1 species